CUUGGGGUGGGAUCCCUUAGCCCGGAUUGCUAAAGGGCGCAGGCCAGGCCCAGGGACUCCACCAGUGCACA
rnacentral:pre_miRNA from 1 species